GAUAAUCAACACAAAACACAAGAGGCACAGCUGGUCGCUUCGACUCGUCGGAGACAGCAUCUCCAGAAAGCGUGUCGAGGCUCAUUCCCAACAAGAAGGAAAACAUCUGAUCGUCUUUCUCCAGAUUCACACCGAGACGAAGCAGCAACAGGAAACAAAAGGAGCGCGUUGGACGAGGUGACUCUCCUGACCUUGUAAGGCCUCCUUGGCGCGGUCCAGCUCCUGCUCCUUGUCACCCAGCUGGGCCCGGAGCUCGGUGGCAGACAGCAGCAGGUGGACCUCCUCCUGAAGCUGGACCACCUCCUCUCGCAGCAGCGCUGAGGAGAAAAACGAGCAGAGAUUUAAAAAACAGACACAGGAGAAAGAGUAAAAGGACCUGGGAAUACCAAGAAAAUCUGGUAUAUCUUUAAGAAGAUGCUUGUUAAAACCAAAAUAAAUGCUUGAUAAGGGUGCACCGAUUGAAGUUUUCUGGACGAAAUUUCCGAUCUUUAAAAAGCAGGACUUCCUGCCGAUUCAAAUUUUGGUCAAUACCAAGUUUUUUUUAUUUUUUUUUAUCAGAAAUGUUGCUAAAUACAGCAAGAAAGUUGCUGAGAUGGUAACUUUCUUGUUAUCAAGAGUUUCUGGGUGUUUGCAGCUGGUGAGCCGGUCUAUUGGUCAAACCUCUCUAACAAACGGGACAACGGUUGAUUUCUAGAUCUUUCCCAAGGUUGAGAUCGGCUUCACAAGUAUGAAUCGGCUGAUCACCAAUCUCCUGAACUCUGGACCGAUUUACUCAAUCUUUCAAAAACGUAAUCAUA